GAUGAACGCUGGCGGCGUGCCUAAUACAUGCAAGUCGAGCGAACAGACGAGGAGCUUGCUCCUCUGACGUUAGCGGCGGACGGGUGAGUAACACGUGGAUAACCUACCUAUAAGACUGGGAUAACUUCGGGAAACCGGAGCUAAUACCGGAUAAUAUAUUGAACCGCAUGGUUCAAUAGUGAAAGACGGUUUUGCUGUCACUUAUAGAUGGAUCCGCGCCGCAUUAGCUAGUUGGUAAGGUAACGGCUUACCAAGGCAACGAUGCGUAGCCGACCUGAGAGGGUGAUCGGCCACACUGGAACUGAGACACGGUCCAGACUCCUACGGGAGGCAGCAGUAGGGAAUAUUGCGCAAAGGGCGAAAGCCUGACGGAGCAACGCCGCGUGAGUGAUGAAGGUCUUCGGAUCGUAAAACUCUGUUAUUAGGGAAGAACAAAUGUGUAAGUAACUAUGCACGUCUUGACGGUACCUAAUCAGAAAGCAACGGCUAACUACGUG
rnacentral:rRNA from 1 species